UUUUGUUGUGUGAAUAAACCAUGAUUUCUCUUUUUUUUGAGCAUGUAUAGUUAAGUUGUUUUCAGUAUUUUGGCUAUUAUGAGUAAGGUUACUCUGGGUUUAUAUAUAUUUGGGAGUAGAUAUUGUCAGCCUUCAAUUAUGCAUUUACACAACUGUAGUAAAUAGUGAUACUUUUUUUUUCCUGAUUACUUACUCCAAGUUUUCUUUUUCUCUGCAGACCUAAGCUUCAUGUUCUGCCUGUGUGAUUCUGUCUUCACGAUUCUCAUGGUUCCUCCCAUGACUGACAGCUUAGAAGCCAGAGGUCAAAGGAGCCUAUCAAUCAAUGCACUCCACGCAAAUAUGUCCAGGGAGCAGGAUAGAACAAGGUAUAAAAGGGUGGAACUCUAUCUAGAGGAGCAAAAUGAAGAUAUCUAAUACAUUGACAUUAAUACAAUAUGUACAAUGUCAUUAUAAUGUGUCAAAAUUGCACAGAAAAAUAAUCACAAAAUAAUCAAUGUCAUAGUCAACUAUUGGUGGUGUUUUAUGCCAGGUGCACUUUAGCUGAUUAACUGGAAGAUUUGAGUGAAAGUACUUUUUUUGUUGUUGUUGAGAAAGCGAGAAGUUAAGGAAACAUCUGAAGGGCAAUGGGCAAGUGAUGCCUGCAAGGUACUGGCAGAAGAUAAAUGGUAUGUUAUUUUAAGCCAAUAGAAAGCUUAAUCCUGUGAGGGAAACUCUGGGAAACGUAC
rnacentral:lncRNA from 1 species